AUUGAACGCUGGCGGCGUGCUUAACACAUGCAAGUCGAACGAAGUGGCGAACGGGUGAGUAAUACGUGGGUAACCUGCCCUCCUUUUUGGGAUAAGCCUUGGAAACGAGGUCUAAUACCGAAUAAAGGGGGAUGGGCUCGCGGCCUAUCAGCUUGUUGGUGGGGUGGUGGCCUACCAAGGCGGUGACGGUGAGACGGCCUGGGGUGGUUACCGGCCACAUUGGGACUGGGAUACUGCCCAUACUCCUACGGGAGGCAGCAGUGGGGAAUCGUCCGCAAUGGACGAAAGUCUUACGGAGCAACGCCGCGUGAGUGAUGACGGCCUUCGGGUUGUAAAGCUCGUAACGGACAAAUGCGGUACCGGAAUAGAAAGCCACGGCUAACUACGUGCCAGCAGCCGCGGUAAUUC
rnacentral:rRNA from 1 species